UACAGAGGGUGCGAGCGUUAAUCGGAAUUACUGGGCGUAAAGCGUGCGUAGACGGUUAUUUAAGUCGGGUGUGAAAGCCCCGGGCUCAACCCGGGAAUUGCAUUCGAGACUGAAUAGCUAGGGUACGGUAGAGGGAAGUGGAAUUUCCGGUGUAGCGGUGAAAUGCGUAGAUAUCUGGAGGAACACCGAUGGCGAAGGCAGCCGCCUGGGCCACAACUGACGCUGAGGGACGAAAGCGUGGGGAGCAAACAGG
rnacentral:rRNA from 1 species